UAUGGUAUGGUCUAGUGGCUUGUGGCUAGGAUACCUGGCUUUCACCCAGGAGGCUCGGGUUCGAUUCCCGGUACCGGAA
rnacentral:tRNA from 1 species